GAGGGUAUAGCUCAGUGGUAGAGCACGCACUUAGGAUGCACGAAGUCUUGGGUUCAACCCCCUGUACCUCCA
rnacentral:tRNA from 1 species